AUCUGCUCAACAGUGUAACGGUAGGUGGAGUCAGCUCUGCCUUGAGACUCUUCACUUGUCCAGUCUCAAACUCUAAACACCUACUGGAGUGCAGGGCAUCCUGCAGCUGGAUAAGUAACUGAAGAUCUGAAGCCCACCUCUUAAGCGUAAUCCCGCAAUCGAAUGUGGACUUUGAAAUGGGCUUUUGAGGAGAAAAGGACAAGCUGCAGUUUCCCCCGUCUUCUAAUUUCCUCAUCUGCGAAAUAAAACAGAGUGUUUAUAUGUCCAGAGAGUGGUGAGCCAGUGAACUGGGAUGACACAAAGAGAUAACUUAUCUAAUUUGGUUCCCAAACGGGUGGGUUGGAUUUUAGUUAAUAAGUCACCAUCAUAGGAAAAUAUAAGCAGGUCCCUGCUUUCUGAGCAUUUAUGUCUAUUGAAGAUGUACAGUAUCAUGCUUUCCCUUUCUGAGACAUUUCCAAUCUGUAAUAUGUCAAUAAGAAUAAAGCAAAUGGGCAUUUUGUAAGAAGUUGGCAGAGGUGCAGAAUGCAUUUAGGAAUUGGAAUGAGUGCUUGUCUACUGCUUUUCAAAUCAUUGCAUUGGGAUUACUUAUGCCUGUGUUUUUCUUGCUCCCUAGACUGAGCUCCUUGACAUCAGGGGCUCAUUUUUGUUUAUUGGUGUCGUUCCCACUCUUCCUGGUGUCAUGUUUUGCACCUGUGGAUAGUCAAGUAAUAGUUGAAUAGUUGUUCAGUUGAAUCAUUCUGUUGCUUUUAGGAGGUGCAGUUUGAAGACACUGCAGCUAGACUGAAAUCACAUAGCCCAGGAAAUGGGAAAACAUACCGUGAAGAUGGGCUAAUUAAUGAUUUAUUGUACCUUGAAAAAA
rnacentral:lncRNA from 1 species